rnacentral:lncRNA from 1 species
AUGUAUUAUUCCCCUUUGUUUUUUUGUUUUAGUGAUUCAGUUAAGAAGGGCAAUAUCAAAUCACCUGCUGGAGAAUUUAAAAAUAUUGAGGCACAACAAAAAAAAUUAGAUCCCACAACAGCUGCAGAAAACAAGGAAGCACAUGCAGCUGCACCGCCUGAUCACUCAGAUGCUGAAUGCAGCAAGGUCUCUGGAGAUGCCAAUGUAAAAGACCUUGGAACCUCUGAUUUGGUUGGUGAGAAAUGUAAAGACCCCGCUGAAGGUUCUGCUCCAAAUGCAGUCCAAGUCAAGCCUGAAGAGUCAUCUGGAACAAAACCAGCAAAAGCAACACCUUCGGCCCCUGAUGUUGUAAAACCAACAGAACCACCUGCAAAGGAGAGUUGCAAGACCGCCCCUUCAACACAGGUUGUGGCAAAGACUGCAGAGGCUAAAGCUAAUGUUGAGCUGACCCCAUCACCUGAGACUCCUGCUGUUGAAAGCACAAAGCAAAAUAAAAGCCCCGCUCCACAACCAGUUCCUAAUACUGGAUCCAAAUCACCUAAUCAGUCUGCUGAUACUGGUGAAAAUAAAGACCCUGUUCCUGUUACAGUUGAACUGAAGGCAGUGGAACCUGCAGUUACAACAAAGCCAGUUAAGGCAACACCUUCGGCCCCUGAUGUUGUAAAACCAACAGAACCACCUACAAAGGAGAGUUGCAAGACCGCCUCUCCAACGCAGGUUGUGGCAAAAGCUCCAGAAGUAAAGACUGCUCCACAAAACAGUGUGAAACCAGUUUCUGAUAUGGGAUCCAAAUCAGCUAAUCCAUCUGUUGGAGGACAGUCUGUUGUGGCUGGUACAGACAAACAUAAAGACCCCUCUGCAGUUACUUCUGAAAUUCCAGUCAAACUGAAGGCAGUGGAACCUGCAGUCACAACAAAGCCAGUAAAGGCAACACCUUCGGCCCCUGAUGUUGUAAAACCAACAGAACCACCUGCAAAUGAGAGGUGCAAGACUGUUCCUCCAACACAAGUUGUGGCAAAGACUGCAGAGGCUAAAGCUAAUGUUGAGCUGACCCCAUCACCUAAGACUCCUGCUGUUGAAAGCACAAAACAAAAUAAAAGCCCUGCUCCACAACCAGUUCCCAAUACUGGAUCUAAAUCACCUAAUCAGUCUGCUGAUACUGGUGAAGAUAAAGACCCUGGUAAGGUUCCUGUUGCAGUUGAACUGAAGGCCGUGGAACCUGCAGUUACAACAGAGCCAGUAAAGGCAACACCUUCGGCCCCUGAUGUUGUAAAACCAACAGAACCACCUACAAAGGAGGGUUGCAAGACUGUCCCUCCAACACAGGUUGUGGCAAAGACUGUGGAUUCUAAAUCUAAUGUUAAGCUGACCCCAUCACCUGAGACUCCUGCUGUUGAAAGCACAAAUCAAAAUAAAAGCCCUGCUCCACAAAUAAUCCCUAAAACUCCAUCCAAAUCACCUAAUCAGUCUACUGAUGCUCAGGUGAAAGAUCCCAUUAGAGGAAAUUCUGUUGUGGCUGGUACUGAGCAAAAUAAAGACCCCUCUGCAGUCACUUCUGAAGUGCCAGUCAAACGGAAGGCAGUGGAACCUACAGUUACAACAGAGCCAGUAAAGGCAACUCCUUUGGCCCCUGCCGUUGUAAAACAAGCAGAACCACCUGCAAAGGAGAGUUGCAAGACCGCCCCUUCAACACAAGUUGUGGCAAAAGCUCCAGAUGUAAAGACUGCUCCACAAAACAGUGUGGAUCCAGUUUCUGAUAUAGGAUCCAAAUCAUCGAAUCCAUCUGUUGGAGGAAAUUCUGUUGUGGCUGGUACUGAGCAAAAUAAAGACCCCUCUGCAGUCACUUCUGAAGUUCCAAUCAAACUGAAAGCAGUGGAACCUGCAGUCACAACAAAGCCAGUAAAGGCAACACCUUUGGCCCCUGAUGUUGUAAAACUAACAGAACCACUUGCAAAGGAGAGUUGCAAGACCGCCCUUCCAACACAGGUUGUGGCAAAGACUGUGGAUUCUAAAGCUAAUGUUGAGCUGACCCCAUCACCUGAGACUCCUGCUGUUGAAAGCACAAAGCAAAAUAAAAGCUCCGCUCUACAACCAGUUCCUAAUACUGGAUCCAAAUCACCUAAUCAGUCUGCUGAUACUGGUGAAAAUAAAGACCCUGUUCCUGUUGCAGUUGAUGUGAAGGCAGUGGAACCUGCAGUUACAACAAAGCCAGUAAAGGCAACACCUUCGGCCCUUGAUGUUGUAAAACCAACAGAACCACCUGCAAAGGAGAGUUGCAAGACCGCCUCUCCAACGCAGGUUGUGGCAAAAGCUCCAGAUGUAAAGACUGCUCCACAAAACAGUGUGAAACCAGUUUCUGAUAUGGGAUCCAAAUCACCUAAUAAAUGUGGUGGUGAUUCUGCAAUGAGGUCUACUGAACCAAAGGUGAAACCUGCAGUCACAGCAGAGCCUGUUGUAAGGACAACACCUCCAGUAGCUGAGAAAGAAGCACUGCCUGCUAAAAUCACCACUGAACAACAAAAUAUGACUCCGCCGCCUGCAAACAAGGUGGAAGAAGGUGGAGCUGCUCGAAAUGCAUCCUCUGACCAAACCAUUGAACUGACAGAUGCAUUAGAUGAGGUACCACCCACAGCAGAAUCUGUUCCUGAGCCUGUGAACGAUCCAAAGCACUCUCACUCAAAGGGGUCAGAACCAAACCAGUGUGAUGACACCAACAGGUACGUCCAUUCGAAAACAAACCUUUAUUUACUGCGUUUUAUAAAUGUAAUAUUCACUUCUACUGUGAAAUGCAUCUCAUGGUUUAUUGUUGCUAUUCAUUGCACUGUAGCACGGAAAAGUUUCAUUUCGCUGCAUUUGUACCACGCAGUCUCGGUUUUCAUGCUUUUUAAAAAUGACUCUCUCAUUACCUCAGACAAGGCAAGGCUGUUUGUUCAUUCUGUGACCAAGUCAUCAGUGGAAAUGUCAAGAUCACGUUCAGUGACCCACCACUGA